CAAGUCGAGGGGCAGCACGAAAAAGCUUGCUUUUUUGGUGGCGACCGGCGCACGGGUGCGUAACGCGUAUGCAACCUACCCUGUACUGGAGGAUAGCCCGAAGAAAUUCGGAUUAAUACUCCAUAGUAAUUAGAGAUCGCAUGAUUUUUAAUUUAAAGGUUACGGUACAGGAUGGGCAUGCGUCCCAUUAGCUAGAUGGUAAGGUAACGGCUUACCAUGGCGACGAUGGGUAGGGGGCCUGAGAGGGUGAUCCCCCACACUGGUACUGAGACACGGACCAGACUCC
rnacentral:rRNA from 1 species